rnacentral:rRNA from 1 species
UACGAAGGGUGCAACCGUUGCUCGGAAUUAUUGGGCGUAAAGCGCACGUAGGCGGCCUUGUAAGUCGGAUGUGAAAUCCCUCGGCUUAACCGAGGACGUGCAUCCGAAACUGUGAGGCUCGAGUAUGGAAGAGGGUCGCAGAAUUCCCGGUGUAGAGGUGAAAUUCGUAGAUAUCGGGAGGAAUUCCAGUGGCGAAGGCGGCGACCUGGGCCAAUACUGACGCUGAGGUGCGAAAGCGUGGGGAGCAAACAGG